rnacentral:rRNA from 1 species
AGAGAUGUGUGAUGACGCAUAUCAAUAAGCGGAGGAAAAGAAACUAACAAGGAUUCCCUUAGUAACGGCGAGUGAAGCGGGAAGAGCUCAAAUUUGAAAUCUUCAAGGUUCUACCUUGACGAAUUGUAGUUUAUAGAAGUGUUUUCUGUUAGUGGAGUGGCAAAAGUUCUUUGGAAUAGGACAUCAUAGAGGGUGAGAAUCCCGUAUUUGGUCAUUCCUCCUAGCGUUGUGAUACACUUUCAACGAGUCGGAUUGUUUGGGAAUGCAGUCCAAAAUGGGUGGUAAAUUUCAUUUAAAGCUAAAUAUUGGCGAGAGACCGAUAGCGAACAAGUACCGUGAGGGAAAGAUGAAAAGAACUUUGAAAAGAGAGUUAAACAGUACGUGAAAUUGUCAAAAGGGAAGCGUUUGACACCAGUGUUGUUUUUCCGAAAAUCAAUUACGAAUGUUUUAUUUUUGAGGAGUUAUGACUUCAUCGGCUUGCUCCUUUCUUUAUGAAACUUUCUUAAUGCACUUUUCGGUUAACAAGUCAACAUCAAUUUCUUUUGUUGUAAAAGGGUAUGAGGAAGGUGGCUUUCUUUUCGGAGAAAGUGUUUAUAGCCUUGUGCCUCUGCAAUCGGAGAGAUUGAGGUCUGCAGCGUAGAUCCUUCGGGGUUAGAUACGUUUGUGCUAAGUUAUAGCUUUUCAUAGACAACUUGUUGACUAUGUUUAGUCUUGUAGCUUACUCGCUUACGCUAUUUUACCUACGCUUAGGAUGUUGAGUAGCGACAUACGCAC